rnacentral:rRNA from 1 species
AGCAGUAGCCACGGGAAUACGAAGGGGGCUAGCGUUGUUCGGAUUUACUGGGCGUAAAGGGCGCGUAGGCGGACUGAUAAGUCAGGGGUGAAAUCCCAAGGCUCAACCUUGGAACUGCCUUUGAUACUGUUUGUCUUGAGUUCGAGAGAGGUAAGUGGAACUGCGAGUGUAGAGGUGAAAUUCGUAGAUAUUCGCAAGAACACCAGUGGCGAAGGCGGCUUACUGGCUCGAAACUGACGCUGAGGCGCGAAAGCGUGGGGAGCAAACAGGAUUAGAUACCCCCGUAGUCCCUGUCUCUUAUAC